CCGAGGCAGGGUGACCCCCACAUAAUCACUGUCUUGGCAGACAGAGGUGCACGGAUAUAACAAUUCCAAACAGCAAAUAUCCCAAGCUGCUCCUUUAAAGUGCAUGCAUUGUACUUCCCACCUCCAUAACUCAAGUCCUGUAAUUGUUUUACAUGAUAGGAUUUCUGGUAUCUUAUUUCGUGUUAUCUCCAUGGGGAAGUGGAAAGGAAUUCUUCCUCUGUAAGCCAUGUGUCAUAAGAGGCAAUUAGAAUGCUAGGAACAAGGGGCUAGUAAUCCUUUCUGUAUAAAUUACUGAAUUUAAAAAGAGAAACUUUAAUUUUUGUUUUUAGGUCACCUUGCCUUUGUGGGAUAUGGCUGGUUCAUUUAAAAAAAAAAUGUAUACCUGGAGUAUAACCAUUUAGCUGUACAAGAGUCCUGGAGGUGGGAAGUACAGUGCUUGCACUCCUUUAAAGUGGGGAUAUUUGUAGUUUUGAACUGUUGUAUUGGUGCCCCUCUGGCAAGACAGUGAUGGUGAGAGAGUUUAUACAUUUUUGGGUUUACCUUGGUGGGAGAUUGUCAGUUUGUUGAAAAAAAGAAGUAUCAACACAAGACCCAAGGAUCCUCGCAUGAGACGUCUGCAACAAAAGCAAGCCGAACAAGCUGCUGCUAAAAAUCCUGGUCCUGAGAAACUCACAUUCAAGGAAAAAAUGAAGAUGUUUGCAAUGGAAACUGGGGAGGCAGAAACACCUAAAGACAAGGUGAAGAUUAGCAGAGCUCAAAGAGAUAUUGAGCACUGAGUGUAAAGUUGGUUGCAAUGAAGAGAUCAGCCAUCUCAUUAAUGGAUUGUGAUGGCAUUCCCUAGUGGAUUUAGCUUCACAUCAUUACACACACAUAUUUGUUAAAGUAAAUUUGCAAGAGCUGCCCAUGUUACUUACAGUGGUGUAAAAAAUUUAAGUCGACUGUUUUUUGUGGGCAAAGCUGGUGUUUUAGUUUGUUGCAGGAAGUUAUUAAUAUGGUCCUGGAGUAUGGUGGAGCAGCUAAAAAUAAUUGGUGUUCCUGUAAUAUAGAUAGAAGUUGUUUUAAAGUACUCACAUAUCAGCACUAGUACAAAAGAGGAGCAUAUUACUUUAGCUAAUUGCAACAAGUGUGCUGGUUACAAGCUGUAAGAACCUAGUUAUCAGCCAUUGCCUUCCCAACUUUGUGGGUCCAGUGCAGUGAACGUUUUAACUAUUGUGUGUGUGGUAUGAAUGUUUGGUGACUUACCUUCCACACUAACCUUUCAUUGUGGCCAUUUAUUCACUUGCUUUCAUGUAAACUUUACUCUCUAGAUUAGUAGGCACAUUUCUAUAUAAAUAGGCUGUUUGUGUGUACAUAUGUAAAGUUUGAGGGGAGGGAGGGGGUGGGGGGUUCAAGAGCCUACUCAUACUCACAGGAAUGUGCAGCUUUUAGUAUUUUACCACAAAUGUUGGAAUAUUUGAGAAUGAUCAGGUUUACUUUCCAGUGUUGCACAUAAAAAUAAUGCUGAAAUACCUUUAAUGUGAUUUAUUUUAUGAAAUAUUUUCACAAUAGUAUUGACAGUGCUGUCUUAUAUUGAAUAUUAUAUAUCUGUACAUUUAUCAGUAAUUUUAUGUGUGGAAGGCUGGGGUAUGUGGAUAGAUUAGUUGUCUGUGAUAAAGGGCGACCUCAGUCCUUCCUCACUCAUUUUACACAAUACAUUACACUCUGAAUAAAAA